UGGAUCUAUUCAAGAUGUAUCUUCUUGGUGGAGUAGUAAUUCUCUUUAUAGGCGGAACGUACGGGUUUACAUACUACAAGUUGAAAAAACAGUCGAAAAAUUUUGCGCUAGAAAAUGUUUCCGCUCGACACCAACACGCACGGGUUAUGAAAGAAAAACGAUUUUUGAGGACAAUUAUUCUAAUAGCGUGUAUUACAGUUGUUUGUCUGUUACCCGCGUCGACAUACUACCAUUACGCUGUACACAAAAAAUUGUUUAUCGAUGGUUUAGCUGCUCGGAUCCUGCACGGUACUUUUAUUGGAAUAUUUUACGCCAAUUUUGCUGUAAACCCACUCGUGUAUGUACUGCGUUUGCCAAACUAUAGAAAAACAUUUUAUUUGGUGUAUUGUUGUAAAAGAACAGCACGUUAGAAGCCGGCUUUAGGACCUUUGAGGAAAAAUAGGAUGAUAGGAUGGCAUGGAGGACAGUGGGGAUUUUCAAACCAAUGGAAAGGCUACGAAACAUUAAUUCCGACCACUGAAACACGACUGUACAAAGUUGUUUAACAGGGUUCGUCUAUUUUCAAAGAGAUGAAAUCUUGAAGGGCAGUCAGCUGUCGAAAACUUACGAGCGAUUGCACCAUUUUUACCCGGUAAUUAGUCAUGUCAAAUCACACCCUAAAAUGCGCCUUUUCAUCGAUAUUUGCAAAAAAAUCAACCUAUUUUAUUAGCUAGGAAAUUGUAUAAUCAGUUCCUCAGCAAAGAAUUGCAAGACUUUCUUCGCCUUUUCACACAAUUCAAAGACUUUUCAAAGAAUUUAAAGACCUGAAUUCAAAUUUAAAGACUUUCAAGGAUUUCAAAGACCGCGUUGCGAACCCUUUAUCAGGUAUAAAACGACGAGUGACUGCAUGGCAUGGCGGGGUUUAAAAAAAAGGACAAUGAAACGUUCCGAUCGCUGGAUAGUGUCUCAUGUUUAAGUUAAAAUAUGUGACUAGAGGGCAUGGAGAACAGUAGGAUUUUGUAAACAAUGAAAAAAAUUAACAACAAAAUAAAUAUUUAAUUUAAGUGACCAACAAAACUUGUGGUUAAUUUGUUUGAACUUUUAUAUACAUCUUCGUUCCUAAGCUUUGCGAGUUAAGCCACCCAUGUGUGUUACCAAAGAAGACGCUGACUUUGCCGUGUCAGUGAUGAGGACCGCCUUACAAAACUACACAGAGAUAAAAAGCUAGGUCCAGCAAAUUAGAACUAUACCAUGCACAUUACUUAGAUUAAUUACAUCUAAUUAGAACUUUGUAGUGUAUAUGUGAAAGAAUAAAUGCAUGAAGUGAUAGUUUUAUAUAGAAUACGUAAAAAUGGAAUAAAUAAAC